UCCGUAGGGGGCAAGCGUUGUCCGGAUUUCUUGGGCGUAAAGAGCGUGUAGGCGGCCUGACAGGUCUGCUGUGAAAACUCGAGGCUCAACCUCGAGAUGUCGGCGGAAACCGUCUGGCUAGAGUCCGGAAGAGGAGAGUGGAAUUCCUGGUGUAGCGGUGAAAUGCGCAGAUAUCAGGAAGAACACCCGUGGCGAAGGCGGUUCUCUGGGACGGUACUGACGCUGAGACGCGAAAGCGUGGGGAGCGAACAGG
rnacentral:rRNA from 1 species